rnacentral:rRNA from 1 species
UGGGGAAUAUUGCACAAUGGGGGAAACCCUGAUGCAGCGACGCCGCGUGAGUGAAGAAGUAUUUCGGUAUGUAAAGCUCUAUCAGCAGGGAAGAUAAUGACGGUACCUGACUAAGAAGCCCCGGCUAACUACGUGCCAGCAGCCGCGGUAAUACGUAGGGGGCAAGCGUUAUCCGGAUUUACUGGGUGUAAAGGGAGCGUAGGUGGCAAGGCAAGUCAGAUGUGAAAGCCCGGGGCUCAACCCCGGUACUGCAUUUGAAACUGUCUAGCUGGAGUGCAGGAGAGGUAAGUGGAAUUCCUAGUGUAGCGGUGAAAUGCGUAGAUAUUAGGAGGAACACCAGUGGCGAAGGCGGCUUACUGGACUGUAACUGACACUGAGGCUCAGAAGCGGUGGGAGAAAGCAGGUUAAGAUACC